UUUCUCACGGCAGGUGAGAGGCGGCCUCCCUUUCCUGCCCUCUCGCCCCGCCCCCUGCGCGGCUCACCCCCGGGCCGUUGCCAUGGCGACCCAGGGGCCAGAGCCGGCCUGCGGCGGCACAACCCGCCGGGUCUCUGAGGACCUGGCGGCGGCGGCGGCGACGACAGUGACAAGUCAUGGAACUUUCAAGAAACAACGUCGAGGAGACCAGGAAGCACACGGGCCUCGGGCGUUGCAGGCAUUUCUUCUGGCUGGGCGUGGUCUUCGACACGGUGGGCACGACCGUGCUGUUCACCGGGGUCUUCGCGCACCUGCUCUUCGACGACCUGCUACUCUACCUGGGUUCCAUCAUCAUCUUCUUCAGCCUGCUGUGGUGGGUCUUCUGGUACACCGGCAACAUCGAACUGACUGCUGAAGAGUCCUUGAAGAGGCCCUUCCACGUGCCCUCCUCCACCACGGUGGACGCGCUGAGCCACCGCCUCUCUCUUACCUUCUGCAACAUGUCCACCACCUUGACGCGGAUCCGGCGGCGCUGCGGUCCCAGGACGUUCCUUCUUAGACCUGCUUCUCCGAGUAUGACCGUCACGUCCCGGCUCGAAAACCAGCUGGAGAAGGAAGACCAGGGCAAAGACGGACCGACAGGUGCCCUGGAGAGCGGAGACUUGCAAAACCUGGGCAGCGAGGAUCUGGGCCCCAAACCUGAAGCUGUCCGAAGUUCAGAGGGAGUUCGCUCCCCGGGCCCUGAUGCUGGGUCUCCGGGCCCCGAGGCUGGGCUGCCAGGGCUUGUGAAAGAAUCGUUUUUCACUCCAGACCAGGCUCAGUCCCUAGCCGUCCUCCCCUCCAGGAGCCUGCCUGUAAUCCCCUCGGCCUCUACCCGCCAGCCUCUAGCCGUGCGUGUUUCCAGGAGCCAGCCGGCGGGCACUCUUGCCUCUGCAGGCCAGCCUGUUGCCUCCUUGGCUUCUGCCAGUCAGCCUGCGCUCAUUGUUGCCCCUGAGAGUCAGCCUGCUGUCCCCUUGUCCUCGUUGACUCAACCUACAGUCCUCCUUGCUUCUCAGAGCCAGACUGCAGUGUCUGUGGUCCCUCAGAGCCAGCCCUUUGUGCCUGUGGCCUCUCAGGACCACUCCUUGGUUUCCGGAGCUUCUCGGGUCCAUCCCCUGGUGCCAUUGCCUGCACAGAGCAACCUCCAGGUCCUUUGGGCCUCUCAAAGCCACCCCCUGGUGUCUGCGGCCGCACAGAGCCAACUCCAAGUCCCACUAGCCUCACAGAGCCAGCUGGAGAAUCUUCCUCCUGCCUCUCAGACUCCAUCUUCAGGUGCUCAGGCUUCCCAGUUGGAGGCCCUGGCCACCCCUGUGUCUCUCAUCCAGCUCCCAUCCUCCCAGUCUUUUCAGACCCAACCUGUGGCCCUGCGGGUCUCCCUUGCUGUCCAGGACUUUCGGGCCUUCUAUCACAGCCAACAGACCCUCCAGAGCAUCUCUUCAGUCCAAGAGAUUGCUCCCAGCCCGUCCGCGCUUGUCCAGGAGUUUCAGAGGAAGCCACUUGCCCAGGCUUUUGAGACUCCGCCACUAGCGGGCCAGGAGCUAAGUCAGGAAUUCCCUGCCACCGCGUCCCCACCCCCUGAGUCCCAGGCUCCAGCUUCUCAGGCCCAGCAAUCAGUGUCUCCUGAGAGCACACCCACCCCUGACUCAGAGAAGACAAGUCGCCCUCCCUAGUACAGAACUGGACCCCUGCUAUCAGAGUGGCCGCUCAGGCCUCUGCCAAGUAAGUGUCUUUGGCAGACUCUUCACCUGCAAUAUUUGAUUGUUUCCGGUCCGUGUUCUGAUCGUUUCCUGGAUCUCUUCUGCUGGAAAAAAUUGAGUGGAGGUGAAGUGGCCUGUUCCUUCCGGGAUUAGAUCUUUUCCACUUUGAAUCACCAAAGUUUCUACAGAUUUAAGUGCCAACUUUAUAAAAGCACAAAUACUUACCUUAACCUCGUUUUGGAAACUUCUGUGUGAGUCCUGACCUAUCUCAGACCAGCAGGCCUGCUACACGGCCUCUGCCAAGCAUGCAUGUGUCAGUGUUGGGGGAGACUUUUCCAGCUUCAGAUCAUAAAGUUCUUUAUUGCCAGAAUUUUAAGCCAUAAUAAACUAUGCUAUUCCAAAUGAA